CUUGCACUUCUGACGUUAGCGGCGAACGGUGAGUAACACGUAAGGAAUCUACCUAUAAGCGGGGAUAACAUUCGGAAACGGGUGCUAAUACCGCAUAAUAUCUUCUUCCGCAUGGAAGAAGAUUGAAAGACGGCUCUGCUGUCACUUAUAGAUGACCUUGCGGUGCAUUAGUUAGUUGGUGGGGUAAUGGCCUACCAAGACGAUGAUGCAUAGCCGACCUGAGAGGGUGAUCGGCCACAUUGGGACUGAGACACGGCCCAAACUCCUACGGGAGGCAGCAGUAGGGAAUCUUCCGCAAUGGGCGAAAGCCUGACGGAGCAAUGCCGCGUGAGUGAAGAAGGCCUUCGGGUCGUAAAACUCUGUUAUAAGAGAAGAACAAAUUGUAGAGUAACUGCUACAGUCUUGACGGUAUCUUAUCAGAAAGCCACGGCUAACUACGUG
rnacentral:rRNA from 1 species